ensembl:antisense Gm15584 predicted gene 15584
GGUUCUUAUGUCUUAGAGUUUACCAACAUGUAUAUAUUUGUGUUUGCAUUGAGCAUAAUGUAGCGAAUACGUCUUUUGUGUGUGUCUCUCUCUGUGAGAAACAAAGAAAGAAGAAAGAAAGAAAGAAAGAAAGAAAGCAAGAAAGAAAGCAAGGAAGGAAGAAAGAAGAAAGAAAGAAAGAAAGAAAGAAAGAAAGAAAGAAAGAAAGGAAGAAAGGAAGGAAGAAAGAAAAAAGGAAGGAAGGAAGGAAGGAAGGAAGGAAGGAAGGAAGGAAGACAAAAAAAAAGCAACAAUGAAAAAAUAAACAAAAGCAGACUUUUUUGAACUCAAUUAAAGCCCUUUUUGGUCCUCUAAGGAAAGAAAAUGUGCUGAAAUACAAACAGAUAAAAAAAAGUGUCGGGAUUUGACUGGAUUUGUAAAAGAUGAGAACAUCAUUCAGCCAUCAUCCGAUAAGUUACUUCCUGCAGAAAAUGGGAACAUGCACAACGACCUACAGCCAGAUGUUAAACAGAGGGAGACCUUGGAAUGCAUAUCUAUAAACUGGUAUCUCCAUCAAAUCUGUCUUCUUGCAGCUCAGAACGUCAAAAAAGAGGAGGCAAAAUGGGUGAGGCACAGGAAAGGCCUCUAAAUCAAAGUUCAUAUGAAUUUAUAGAGAUAGUAUAGCAGCAGUCACAGGUCCUACCUGGGUCUUCAACAGGUCGUAUGCAUAUAGACUAUUGCAUAUAUACUUAGGAAAAUUUUGCAUAUCCUGAAUGUGUAAAAA